UGUACCAUUUCGAAAAAAAUGGAGUAGGUACAAAAAAAAAUAUGGAGAUGCGGACGUUUCAAAAAUAAAUGCCGAGGUCGCGUUCAUGUUAUUGGUGAUAUCAAUAAUGAAAAAAUUUCAAAAAAAAUUGAUCAUAAUAACCAUGUCCCUGAUAUCACUCAAAUAGAAGUUAAAACUGCAAUAAAUGAGAUGAAAAUAAAUGCAAUAUGCAAAUCUAAUUCCACGCAUUCAGUCAUUGGAACACUUGCUUCUCAGAUAUAAAGGUAUCUGCUUCAGUUGCUGGACAAUUACCAAAUGUGCAAACUCUAAAAAGAACCGUUCAGAGAGUUCGUCAAUCUCAUUUAGGAGCUCCAAUUAAUCCUCAAAAUUUUAAUUUUGAAA